UUCCGGUUGAUCCUGCCGGACCCCACUGCUAUCGAGAUGGGACUAAGGUAUGCUAGUCGAACGACCAGAACUAUGUCUGGAAGUGGCACACUGCUCAGUAACACGUAGCUAACCUACCCUUAGGACGUGGAUACCCCCGAGAAAUUGGGGUUAAUCCGCGAUAGGUGUAAUGUCCUGGAAUGGUAUUACGCCUAAAGGUGUAUCAUACAUGUUUGAUAUACGCCUAAGGAUGGGGCUGCGGCCGAUCAGGCUGUUGGUGAGGUAAUGGCUCACCAAACCUUUGACCGGUACGGGCCAUGAGAGUGGUAGCCCGGAGAUGGACACUGAGACAAGGGUCCAGGCCCUAAGGGGCGCAGCAACCGCGAAACCUCCACAAUGCACUCACGUGCGAUGGGGCUAUCUCGAGUGCCACCUGAUGAAGGUGGCUUUUCCUAGGUCUUCAAAGCCUUGGGAAUAAGAGGGGGGCAAGACUGGUGUCAGCCGCCGCGGUAACACCAGCCCCUCGAGUGGUGGGGAUGAUUAUUUGGCCUAAAGCGUCCGUAGCCGGCCGAGCAAGUCUUCCGUUAAAUCCAGCGUCUCAAGCGUUGGACUGCGGGAGAUACUACACGGCUAGAGAGUGGGAGAGGUCAGCGGUAUUCUGGGGGUAGGGGCGAAAUCCUUUGAUCCCCGGAGGACCACCAGUGGCGAAGGCUGCUGACUAGAACACGUCUGACGGUCAGGGACGAAAGCUGGGGUAGCGAACCGGAUUAGA
rnacentral:rRNA from 1 species